ensembl:lncRNA
GUGGUAGUUGUGGGUGCUGUGGUAGUUGUGGGUGCUGUGGUAGUUGUGGGUGCUGUGGUAGUUGUGGGUGCUGUGGUAGUUGUGGGUGCUGUGGUAGUUGUGGAUGCUGUGGUAGUUGUGGGUGUGUACGUACUGACAUUUGUGGGUGUGGUUGUGAGUUCAGUAGUUUUUUGGGUGGUAGUUGGAAGUGCAGGUGCAAUCUGUGUGGUCGUGAGGUUUGUUGUCAGAAGAGGGGGGGUUGUUGGUUCCGCUGUGGUUGUGAGGUUUGUUGUUAGAGGAGGAGAGCUUGUUGGUUCCUCUGUGGUUGUGAGGUUUGUUGUCAGAGGAGGGGAGGUUAUUGGUUCCUCUGUGGUUGUGAGGUUUACUGUCAGAGGAGGGGAGGUUGUUGGUUCCUCUGUGGUUGUGAGGUUUACUGUCAGAGGAGGGGAGGUUGUUGGUUCCUCUGUGGUUGUGAGGUUUGUUGUUAGAGGAGGAGAGUUUGUUGGUUCCUCUGUGGUUGUGAGGUUUGUUGUCAGAGGAGGGGAGGUUGUUGGUUCCUCUGUGGUUGUGAGGUUUGUUGUUAGAGGAGGAGAGUUUGUUGGUUCCUCUGUG